rnacentral:rRNA from 1 species
AAAUUGAAGAGUUUGAUCAUGGCUCAGAUUGAACGCUGGCGGCAGGCCUAACACAUGCAAGUCGAACGGUAACAGGAAGCAGCUUGCUGCUUCGCUGACGAGUGGCGGACGGGUGAGUAAUGUCUGGGAAACUGCCUGAUGGAGGGGGAUAACUACUGGAAACGGUGGCUAAUACCGCAUAACGUCGCAAGACCAAAGAGGGGGACCUUCGGGCCUCUUGCCAUCAGAUGUGCCCAGAUGGGAUUAGCUUGUUGGUGAGGUAAUGGCUCACCAAGGCGACGAUCCCUAGCUGGUCUGAGAGGAUGACCAGCCACACUGGAACUGAGACACGGUCCAGACUCCUACGGGAGGCAGCAGUGGGGAAUAUUGCACAAUGGGCGC